GCUGGGCGUGGUGGCUCAUGCCUGUAAUCCAAGCAUUUUGGAGGCCAAGGUGGGCGGAUCACCUGAGGUUGGGAGUUCAAGACCAGCCUGACCAAUAUGGUGAAACCCCAUCUUUA
rnacentral:sRNA from 1 species